AAGAAAAUACUAUUCAUGUUGCAGCUAGGCAUUCACCCUUAGGAUGAUGAUGAUGAUAUAACUAUGGAGCAAGCUUGGGAUGACAUCGUUCAACGAGUUAAAGUAUAUAUUCUUUGAUGAGGUUAGUUCACUAAUAAGGAUAAUUUUAUAUGUUUAACAAAAAUGUUAAGUUUUUGCCAUUAUUAAUGUUGUAAGUUGUUUCCAUUAGAGUUUCUUCAGCUGAUCAUCCUCUAGGAAGCCAC
rnacentral:lncRNA from 1 species